rnacentral:rRNA from 1 species
UGGGGAAUAUUGGACAAUGGGCGAAAGCCUGAUCCAGCCAUGCCGCGUGUGUGAAGAAGGCCUUUUGGUUGUAAAGCACUUUAAGCGAGGAGGAGGCUACUAGUACUAAUACUACUGGAUAGUGGACGUUACUCGCAGAAUAAGCACCGGCUAACUCUGUGCCAGCAGCCGCGGUAAUACAGAGGGUGCGAGCGUUAAUCGGAUUUACUGGGCGUAAAGCGUGCGUAGGCGGCUGAUUAAGUCGGAUGUGAAAUCCCUGAGCUUAACUUAGGAAUUGCAUUCGAUACUGGUCAGCUAGAGUAUGGGAGAGGGUGGUGGAAUUUCCUGUGUAGCGGUGAAAUGCGUAGAUAUAGGAAGGAACACCAGUGGCGAAGGCGACCACCUGGGCUCAUACUGACACUGAGGUGCGAAAGCGUGGGGAGCAAACAGG